GCCGCCCUGGUGGAAUUGGUAGACACGCUAGGUUUAGGUCCUAGUGCCCUAGGCGUCCCGGUUCAAGUCCGGGGGGCGGUACCA
rnacentral:tRNA from 1 species